rnacentral:rRNA from 1 species
UAGGGAAUCUUCCACAAUGGACGCAAGUCUGAUGGAGCAACGCCGCGUGAGUGAAGAAGGUUUUCGGAUCGUAAAGCUCUGUUGUUGGUGAAGAAGGAUAGAGGCAGUAACUGGUCUUUAUUUGACGGUAAUCAACCAGAAAGUCACGGCUAACUACGUGCCAGCAGCCGCGGUAAUACGUAGGUGGCAAGCGUUGUCCGGAUUUAUUGGGCGUAAAGCGAGCGCAGGCGGAAUGAUAAGUCUGAUGUGAAAGCCCACGGCUCAACCGUGGAACUGCAUCGGAAACUGUCAUUCUUGAGUGCAGAAGAGGAGAGUGGAAUUCCAUGUGUAGAGGUGGAAUGCGUAGAUAUAUGGAAGAACACCAGUGGCGAAGGCGGCUCUCUGGUCUGCAACUGACGCUGAGGCUCGAAAGCAUGGGUAGCGAACAGG